ACGCUGGCGUUAGGCCUAACACAUGCAAGUCGAACGCACCCUUCGGGGAUGAGUGGCAGACGGGAUGAGUAACGCGUGGAGAACCUACCUAGUGGUACGGAAUAGCCCAGGGGAAACUUGGGUAAUACCGUAUGAGCCCUCCGAGGGGAAAGAUUNAUCGCACAUUAGAUGGGACCCGCGUCUGAUUAGCUANUUGGUGGGGUAAUGGCCUACCAAGGNAACGAUCAGUAGCUGGUCUAGAGAGGAUGAUCAGCACACACUGGGAC
rnacentral:rRNA from 1 species